CGUAAGGCGCCGAAUGAGUCAUUAAAAAAUUAACAUCAUCCGAUCCCUAGUCGGCAUAGUUUAUGGUUAAGACUACGACGGUAUCUGAUCGUCUUCGAUCCCCUAACUUUCGUUCUUGAUUAAUGAAAACAUCCUUGGCAAAUGCUUUCGCAGUAGUUAGUCUUCAAUAAAUCCAAGAAUUUCACCUCUGACAAUUGAAUACUAAUGCCCCCAACUAUCCCUAUUAAUCAUUACAUCGAUCCUAGAAACCAACAAAAUAGAAUCGGAUGCCCUAUUUCAUUAUUCCAUGCUAAUGUAUUCAAGCGUGAGCCUGCUUUAAACACUCUAAUUUUUUCAAGGUAACAGUCCUAAUUCCCCGUAACACCAAAUUAAUGGCAUUACGGUUCUUUAGAAGGUGAGAAAUCAAUGAUAACAGUGCAUACCAACGGCAUGACCGAAAUAUUGAUCCCGAAAUUCAACUACGAGCUUUUUAACUGCAACAACUUUAAUAUACGCUAUUGGAGCUGGAAUUACCGCGGCUGCUGGCACCAGACUUGCCCUCCAAUUGUUCCUCGUUAAGAGAUUUAAAUUGUACUCAUUCCAAUUACAAGAUCCAAAAGAACCCUGUAUUGUUAUUUAUUGUCACUACCUCCCCGUGUCGGGAUUGGGUAAUUUGCGCGCCUGCUGCCUUCCUUGGAUGUGGUAGCCGUUUCUCAGGCUCCCUCUCCGGUGUCGUGCCCUAACACCCCGUUACCCGUUACCACCAUGGUAGGCC
rnacentral:rRNA from 1 species